UACGUAGGGUGCGAGCGUUAAUCGGAAUUACUGGGCGUAAAGCGCACGUAGGCGGGUCGUUAAGUCGGGGGUGAAAUCCUGGAGCUCAACUCCAGAACUGCCCUCGAAACUGGCGAUCUUGAGUUCGGGAGAGGUGAGUGGAACUGCGAGUGUAGAGGUGAAAUUCGUAGAUAUUCGCAAGAACACCAGUGGCGAAGGCGGCUCACUGGCCCGAUACUGACGCUGAGGUGCGAAAGCGUGGGGAGCAAACAGG
rnacentral:rRNA from 1 species